AUGUAUCACUCAUACAUUCCGGUUCCUGCGCGCUGUCCUCCCCAGGCUGACGACUGCGCGCGCAGUUUGCUGAGCA
rnacentral:sRNA from 1 species